rnacentral:rRNA from 1 species
UCCGUCCUACGGGAGGCAGCAGUAGGGAAUCUUCCACAAUGGGCGAAAGCCUGAUGGAGCAACGCCGCGUGGGUGAAGAAGGUCUUCGGAUCGUAAAACCCUGUUGUUAGAGAAGAAAGUGCGUGAGAGUAACUGUUCACAUUUCGACGGUAUCUAACCAGAAAGCCACGGCUAACUACGCGCCAGCAGCCGCGGUAAUACGUAGGUGGCAAGCGUUAUCCGGAUUUAUUGGGCGUAAAGGGAACGCAGGCGGUCUUUUAAGUCUGAUGUGACAGCCUUCGGCUUAACCGGAGUAGUGCAUUGGG